GACGAACGCUGGCGGCGUGCUUAACACAUGCAAGUCGAACGAAGUGCGAUGGAAGCUUGCUUCUAUCAAUCUUAGUGGCGAACGGGUGAGUAACGCGUAAUCAACCUGCCCUUCAGAGGGGGACAACAGUUGGAAACGACUGCUAAUACCGCAUACGAUCUAAUCUCGGCAUCGAGGAUAGAUGAAAGGUGGCCUCUACAUGUAAGCUCUCACUGAAGGAGGGGAUUGCGUCUGAUUAGCUAGUUGGAGGGGUAACGGCCCACCAAGGCGAUGAUCAGUAGCCGGUCUGAGAGGAUGAACGGCCACAUUGGGACUGAGACACGGCCCAGACUCCUACGGGAGGCAGCAGUGGGGAAUCUUCCGCAAUGGACGAAAGUCUGACGGAGCAACGCCGCGUGAGUGAUGACGGCCUUCGGGUUGUAAAGCUCUGUUAAUCGGGACGAAAGGCCUUCUUGCGAAUAGUGAGAAGGAUUGACGGUACCGGAAUAGAAAGCCACGGCUAACUACGU
rnacentral:rRNA from 1 species